GCAGCUGGAACACAGGAGGGCUGUGGAAAAACUUAUUGAAGAGCGUCGCCAGCAAUUCCUUGCAGACAAACAACGUGAACUAGAAGAGUGGCAGUUGCAGCAAAGGCAGCAAGGAUUUAUUAAUGCAAUUAUUGAAGAAGAAAGGCUAAAACUUCUCAAAGAGCAUGCUACAAACUUACUAGGCUAUCUCCCUAAAGGAGUAUUUAAAAAAGAGGAUGAUAUUGAUCUGCUUGGUGAAGAGUUCAGGAAAGUGUAUCAGCAAAGGAGUGACAUUUGUGAAGAGAAAUGAUUGAUAUCAUCAAAAUUGGUUGGAUUUUUUUAAAACGCAAAGUCAACUAGAUGCUGCUAAUGAGACGACACAAAGGAGUUACAAGUAAAAGAAUGGAAAAAGAUAAGACAA
rnacentral:sRNA from 1 species